GUGUCCCCAGGUGUGUUCCAGGUGUCCCCAGGUGUCCCCAGGUGUGUCCAGGUGUGUCCAGGUGUGUUCCAGGUGAGCCCAGGUGUGUCCAGGUGUGUUCCAGGUGUCCCCAGGUGUGUCCAGGUGUGUUCCAGGUGUCCCCAGGUGUGUUCCAGGUGUCCCCAGGUGUGUUCCAGGUGUCCCCAGGUGUGCUCCAGGUGUCCCCAGGUGUGUCCAGGUGGGUUCCAGGUGUCCCCAGGUGUCCCCAGGGUUCUAGACUGGGUUCUAGACUGGGUUCCAGACUCGGUUCUAGAGGUUCUAGACUCGGUUCUAGAUCGGGUUCUAGAGGUUCUAGACUCAGUUCUAGAUCAGGUUCUAGAGGUUCUAGACUCGGUUCUAGAGCGGUUCUAGAUCGGGUUCUAGACUCGGUUCUAGACUGGGUUCUAGAGUGUUCUGGACUGGGUUCCAGGUGUCCCCAAGUUUUCCCAGCUGUCCCCAGGUGUCCCAGGUGUGUUCCCAGGGUGUCCCCAGCUGUUCCAGGUGUUCCCAGCUGUCCCAGAUGUGUCCCCAGGUGUGCCAGCUGUCCCCAGCUGUCCCCAGGUGUGCUCCUGUCCGAGUCUCAGGUACCACCAGCUGCACCCCGAGUACAUCCACGAGCGGCUCCGGGCUCUGGGGCGGAGCUUCGGCCUCCAGGUGCUGCUGCUGCAGGUGGACGUGGUGAGCUGGCACUGUCACCUUUGUCACCUUGGCACUGUCACCUUGGCAUUGCCACCGUGUCCGUCUGUCCCUGUCCCUCACCUGUCUCCUCUCACCUGUCCCUGUCCCCUCUCACCUGUCCCUGUCUCACCUGUCCCCUCUCACCUGUCUCACCUGUCCCCUCUCACCUGUCUCACCUGUCCCCUCUCACCUGUCCCCUCUCACCUGUCCCCUCUCACCUGUCCCCUCUCACCUGUUUCAGCGGGAUCCCCUCCAGGCUCUGCAGGACCUGGCCCGGAUUUGUCUCCUCAGCGACUGCACCUUGCUGCUGGCCUGGAGGUGUCCGACUGCCUGACCAGCGUCAGAUCCGUCAACAAGAGCGACGCCCUGGCCCUGCUGGGCACCUUCGGGUCUCUGGCAGCCGUGGCGGCCGCGUCCCCCCAGGAUCUGUCCCUGUGCCCCGGCGUGGGACCCCAAAAGGCCAAGCGCCUUUUCGACGUUCUGCACCAGCCCUUCCUCAAGAGCGCCUGAGGAGCCCCAAAACCGCCCCAAAUCACCCCAAAAUCACCUCAAAACACCCCAAAACCGCCCCAAAUCACCCCAAAAUCACCUCAAAACACCCCAAAAUCACCUCAAAACACUCCAAAAUCACCUCAAAACACCCCAAAAUCAUCUCAAAACACCCCAAAAUCACCUCAAAACACCCCAAAAUCAUUCAAAAUACAUCAAAACACCCCAAAAUCGCCUCAAAACACCCCAAAAUCAUUCAAAAUAAAUCAAAACACCCCAAAAUCGCCUCAAAACACCCCAAAAUAAAUCAAAACCCCCCAAAAAAAACCCAAAUUCCCAUUUUUUCUCUCCCCCAAUAAAAUCCAUUUUAAUGCCCCAGCCGCGGCCCCUC
rnacentral:lncRNA from 1 species